rnacentral:rRNA from 1 species
UACGUAGGGUGCGAGCGUUGUCCGGAAUUAUUGGGCGUAAAGAGCGUGUAGGCGGUCAGAUAGGUCCGUUGUGAAAACUCGAGGCUCAACCUCGAGACGCCGAUGGAAACCAUCUGACUAGAGUCCGGAAGAGGAGAGUGGAAUUCCUGGUGUAGCGGUGAAAUGCGCAGAUAUCAGGAAGAACACCCGUGGCUAAGGCGGCUCUCUAGUACGGUACUGACGCUGAGACGCGAAAGCGUGGGGAGCGAACAGG